GCCAGGUCUUCUCUGCUGUAGUGGUGGGAGGAUGGCACAGUUGUGUGAAACAGGAAGUCCAGGGGUAUGUUUUCAAAAUGCAGUUUUUGGUUUUAAAUGUAAAAUUCCUGAAGCUGUAAAAAGAAACAGCCAAAGGGAAACAGAACAAACGGUAACCAGCAGCUCACACCUGACGUGCCAGAGUCCCAGCCUUUGAGACAGGAGGUGAGAAGGAAGGAGCUGAUCCGACCAACAGAGAUCAACCCUCCCGCCUCGGAGAACAAAGGGAGGUAGGGAAAACUAAAGGUGAGAUGCCAGGCCAGCGGUGGAGUCCCUAUGGGCGGGAGAGCCCCUGGGCGUGGCGCACCUGCAGGGGGCGGGGCGAGCGCACGUAUGCGUCGUGACGUCACGACAUUGUGACUCCCUGCUAUAUAAGCCCCGGCCGGCAGCCGCGCUCUCCACUUCGCCUGCUUCUGUCUGUCGCCCUUGUUAUCUUUUGCGCCAGGGCAGCGAAUCGGACGCUCGGCAAGCGACAACUGAGAUGGGCGGAGGCAUGAUGGUCAGGCUGGGGCUGGGGCUGCUGCUGCUGGCGCUGCUGCUACCCCCGCAGUUGGAGGCCGAGAUUCCACCCUUGGUACCCAGCGGCCUGCCGAACCUCGAGUCAUCUGCCAUCAGCGUGCUGCAGUGCUCCAUCAGCGUCCUGGUCUUGUCGCUCUCCUUUCUCCUCCAUCUCUACUGUUAAGCUCAGGCCGAGAAACAUCUUCAGUCUCCAGCCCAUCUUUAGGAACUUUGCAGGUGGCGUCCGGAAGAUCAGCGGAAGGCGGUCCCCGUCUGGGUUCUAACUCCACCCUGUCGCGUGGGCCCGACGACGCCGAGAACUCCGAGUCGCAGGAACACCCGAAUCCGAGGAUCGAAUCCGAGGAUCGAGGCCGGAGUUUCGCGUGCGAGAGGGAAAAGACAAUAGGCCAAAUGAGGGAAGGAAGGGGUUUCAUGACAGGCGACUUAAGGAUACGGACUCUAACAACGUGAAGAAGAAUAGAUUUCACCUUGAGAGGAAAAAAGAUGGGAUGUGGAAUGGAGAUUGUUUUUAUUUCGAGACACCAGAUUUGUAAGGCCAUAAAAACGAUUAUGUACCACAAAA